rnacentral:rRNA from 1 species
UACGUAGGGCGCAAGCGUUGUCCGGAAUUAUUGGGCGUAAAGAGCUCGUAGGCGGCUUGUCACGUCGGGUGUGAAAGCCCGGGGCUUAACCCCGGGUCUGCAUUCGAUACGGGCUAGCUAGAGUGUGGUAGGGGAGAUCGGAAUUCCUGGUGUAGCGGUGAAAUGCGCAGAUAUCAGGAGGAACACCAAUGGCGAAGGCAGCACUCUGGGCCGGUACUGACGCUGAGGAGCGAAAGCGUGGGGAGCAAACAGG